UUUCCCCAGAUGAGCCUUAGAGUUUUUCUCCUGUAUCGUAUUUAUAGUUAUAAACUCAUCAGGACUGCAUGUGUUUUAUUUGGAGCUGUAAAGUGGGAAUAAGUAUAGAAAGAUGUGUGUGCUUUUUAAUAACAGCUGAACCUUGAACUCUGCUCAUUUCCCAGCUGCCCAACACCAGCUGCAUUGCCUCACCUAUGUUUUUAGUAGAGCACUUCACCAUCAUCUGACUGGAGAUGGGAAAACUAAAAAGAAAAAGUCACGUUCACGUGUGGUGGCAGUUUCCUAAAAGCUCAAAAGUCAGCAGUUCACUCUUUUGCCCACUCUUAUAAAUGAAUUUGAACUCUUCUCAUGUGGAGAGGAUUCCUGGCUGCAGUUGGGGCUUUGCUUCAGAGCCCUCUUGCCCUCUGUGGCUGGCGGCCUCCAAACUGCCCUUGCAUACAAAGCUCCUGUUAAAAAUAAUCUAGCAGCAGGUUCAAGCUGUCUUUAAUUUCUAAAAUUACUACUGUGCAACUGGUGCUUUAGAAAGAAACACAAUCCUCCUUUUAGAAUGGAUUUUACUGUUUUUAUUUGUACGCCAGCGCUAAAGAGCUGCUUAACCGAUGCCUGGGGUGGUACAUGCUGUCCUGCCCUGCACGCAAGGAAGAGAUACACCCAAGGGGAAUCCCCCCUUGUGCAGACUGAGGUCAUUUCUCAGUCCCCUGGACCACGGCUGCAAGAGGAACGAAGGGCACACAGCCCUGCGGUUACUCAGAGAGAGCGUGUGCCUCCCUGCAGGCUUGCUGUCAUCUGUGUCACUGCAGUAAAUAUGAUGAGACCAUUUAAUCUGUCAGAAAAAUAAAUAUUUGUACGGA